rnacentral:misc_RNA from 1 species
GAUGAAGAACGUAGCGAAAUGCGAUAAGUAAUGUGAAUUGCAGAAUUCAGUGAAUCAUCGAAUCUUUGAACGCACCUUGCGCCCUUUGGCCAUUCCGAAGGGCAUGCCUGUUUGAGUAUCAUGAACACCUCAACUCUUUAUGGUUUUCCAUGAUGAGCUUGGACUCUGGGGGUUUUGCUGGCUCACAGUCGGCUCCUCUAAAAUGAAUCAGCUUACCAGUGUUUGGUGGUAUCAUGGGUGUGAUAACUAUCUACGCUUGUGGUUUUUCCACCAGGUAACCUUCAGCAGUGGAGGUUCGCUGGAGCUCAUAGAUGUCUCUCCUCAGUGAGGACAGCCCUUUGAAUGUUUGAUCUCAAAUCAGGUAGGACUACCCGCUGAACUUAAGCAUAUCAAUAAGCGGAGA